UGGAAUUCCAACGGAGGAGAAGAGGAAAGAGAAGGUCUCCAUGACAGGAGAUGUCCCUGGAAGUAAGAGGCAUGUGGUGUUGUAUUCUCCUCCAAGUCUUUUUUUUAUUAUAAUUAUAUGUAUUUUAAAUUUGGCGACCACAUUUUUCAG